ensembl:snoRNA
GGCCGGCCCUAUCGAAGCUGCCUCUGCCUCGGUGCUGUGGCAGAUGCAGUCAAAAAGGAGCCCAGAGCCACCCGUUUUCCUCGACGGUCGCCGAGCAGCUGGAGCCUCCGUAGCUGCCCGGCAACAUUAGAGGGAAAUACAAGG